rnacentral:rRNA from 1 species
UCUGAAAAAUUAUAGGAGGUCCAGCCUGCCCAGUGACAUAGUUAAACGGCCGCGGUACUCUAACCGUGCGAAGGUAGCGCAAUCACUUGUUCUUUAAAUGAGGACUAGUAUGAACGGCAUCACGAGGAUUAUACUGUCUCCCCCCUUUAAUCAGUGAAACUGAUCUCCCCGUGAAGAAGCGGGGAUAAGAGUAUAAGACGAGAAGACCCUAUGGAGCUUUAAACUUACACCACCUAUCUUAAUGCACUUCUUAACAAGCAGAUAGAAAUCGUAUACGUUUUAAGUUGGGGUGACUGCGGAGUAAAAACCAACCUCCACGAUGAUACACCUUAAAUCCAAGAACUACAAUUCAAAGAAUCAAUAAGCUGACAUUAAUUGACCCAAACAAUUUGAUCAACGAAC